UAGGGAAUAUUGGACAAUGGGUGCGAGCCUGAUCCAGCCAUGCCGCGUGCAGGAAGACGGCCUUCUGGGUUGUAAACUGCUUUUGCCAGGGGAUAAAACGUCCAUGCGUGGAUAAUUGAAGGUACCUGGUGAAUAAGCCACGGCUAACUACGUGCCAGCAGCCGCGGUAAUACGUAGGUGGCAAGCGUUGUCCGGAUUUAUUGGGUUUAAAGGGUGCGUAGGCGGUUUUAUAAGUCAGUGGUGAAAUACAACAGCUUAACUGUUGAGGUGCCAUUGAUACUGUAAGACUUGAGUACAGACGAGGUAGGCGGAAUUGACGGUGUAGCGGUGAAAUGCUUAGAUAUCGUCAAGAACACCGAUAGCGAAGGCAGCUUACUAGACUGUAACUGACGCUGAGGCACGAAAGUGUGGGGAUCAAACAGGAUUAGAUACCCUGGUAGUCCACACUGUAAACGAUGAUUACUCGAUGUUGGCGAUACACAGCCAGCGUCUUAGCAAAAGCGAUAAGUAAUCCACCUGGGGAGUACGCCCGCAAGGGUG
rnacentral:rRNA from 1 species